UGAGUGAGUCUUCUGAGUAACCGAUUAAAUCAAUCAAAACUUUCAACAACGGAUCUCUUGGUUCUGGCAUCGAUGAAGAACGCAGCGAAAUGCGAUAAGUAAUGUGAAUUGCAGAAUUCAGUGAAUCAUCGAAUCUUUGAACGCACAUUGCGCCCGCCAGUAUUCUGGCGGGCAUGCCUGUUCGAGCGUCAUUACAUCCCUCAAGCCCCCGGGCUUGGUGUUGGGGAUCGGCGAGCCUUAGCGCCCGCCGUCCCCUAAAUUUAGUGGCGGUCACGCUGUAACUUCCUCUGCGUAGUAGCACACUUAGCACUGGGAAACAGCGCGGCCACGCCGUAAAACCCCCCAACUUUUGAACGUUUGACCUCGAAUCAGGUAGGACUACCCGCUGAACUUAAGCAUAUCAAUAAGCGGAGG
rnacentral:rRNA from 1 species